rnacentral:rRNA from 1 species
UACGUAGGGUGCGAGCGUUGUCCGGAAUUAUUGGGCGUAAAGGGCGCGUAGGCGGCCUCUGCAAGUCGACUGUGAAAUCUCCGGGCUUAACCCGGAAAGGUCAGCCGAUACUGCAGGGCUAGAGUGCAGAAGGGGCAACUGGAAUUCUCGGUGUAGCGGUGAAAUGCGUAGAUAUCGAGAGGAACACCUGCGGCGAAGGCGGGUUGCUGGGCCGACACUGACGCUGAUGCGCGAAAGCCAGGGGAGCGAACGGG